GUAGAAAUCUUGAACCCUUUGGGCUGCAGUUAUAUCCUCGGUUGAAUUGGUGAAAGGUUGUAUAUUGUACAUAAAUAUGUUCAACCCUAUCAAACCAUGCUGCUUUGCCUUAUAUUUACUCUCAUACAGUGAGACUGCUGAACUAUGUGCCAACAACAUAUUAUGAGCCACCAGGUAGGGCUCUAAUACAGAGCCACGGUGGGAGCAUUCAACUCUGGAGCAUCUCCCUGGUGGAGUUGUACCGAAAUCAUAACCUCCCAAUGCAAACACAUUAGGCUCAUUUAUGGUUGUCCAAUAAGAAACCCUAUCUCCAAACUCCCUAAAG
rnacentral:misc_RNA from 1 species